ACGAAGGGGGCGAGCGUUGUUCGGAAUUACUGGGCGUAAAGGGCGCGUAGGCGGUCAGCACAAGUCAGUUGUGAAAUCUCCGGGCUUAACUCGGAACGGUCAGCUGAUACUGCUUUGCUAGAGUGCAGAAGGGGCAAUCGGAAUUCUCGGUGUAGCGGUGAAAUGCGUAGAUAUCGAGAGGAACACCUGAGGUGAAGACGGGUUGCUGGGCUGACACUGACGCUGAUGCGCGAAAGCCAGGGUAGCAAACGGGA
rnacentral:rRNA from 1 species